AGCAUAUGAUGAAUAGGGCAGAGUGCAAUUAAUUGCAAAAGUUGCAACUGAAAGAGAUAACAAUUUCUCCCAAGUGCAAGUGAACGUGUGUUCGACAGGCCGAAGAAGUGAGUGACGCAAAAUGGCUGCGAGGGAAUCAUCCGGUGGAACGAGAGGUAGCAGCUGAGAAGACUCCACAUCCCAAUCACCGAGCAGCGCCGCCAGUUUUGUUAAGAUGAUUGUGUAGUUUAAGCCAGUGCAUUGUAGUGUUGUUUUGCUGCAUGUGUGUAUAUGCAUACGUGCC